AAGCACAACACACAGGGCCGAGACAAGGGGUAACAGUGUAGGGGCGACAGCGACAUGACCCCGAAAGGCAACCUCACAACACCGAGGAGGUCCAGUCGUAGCCACCGCGAGAAGUCGCAGUCGCGCGACGGAUUCCUCGCGCCGACGCCUCGGUCUCCUCACGGCUCUCCAACGCGCCCGUAACUGCCGCUCUCUGCGCGCGCUUUCCUGAUCCUCAACCCGGUCGCGGGGCCAAGUGACCUCCCUUGCCUUGCGACGGGUGGCCGGCGAGAAAACGAACUCCUGCCAGCCUUUCUCUCUGCUCCCUCCUCCUUACCGUCUUGGCGGCCUCCGCCCAGGUCCUGCCCUUCUUCCUACGGCCCUUUUCCCUCAUGUCGGUUCUGACUGACUGGGAGGCUUCCGUGCCCCGGCUCCGGCUGCGUUCCCUCGCCUGCUGCGCCCUGCACUGCUUUUCCCGCGGUGCCAGGAAAGGUGGGAGAAAGGGGAAGUCGGACCCGAGAAGCAACUCAGCGAGCAAGCGGCCGCGGAGGCGCGCAGUGGCGGGGGUAGGGGGCUCUACGGGGUGGCCGGUCCUGCUGCCGCUGCCACUGCUACCGCCGCUGCCAUAUUGGGUUCUUACUGUACAAGCAGCUUCUGUGGUCACGUGACCCCUGCCGCGCGGCCGUCACUACUGUACGCUGCAGGCCGCGCGAACGAGCGCGCACUUGCGCGCGCCCCCAGCCUCGGCGUCGGACCGGCAGGCUGCAGCAGUUAGCCACGCCCCUGCACUUCCGGUGUCUCCGCAUCGAGCCCUUGCGCACGACGGAGGGCGGCCCAUGGUCUGUGGGUCGGAUGUCUGGCGGUCACACCCGCCGGGAAGAUCUUCUGGCGGAAACAGAAUCUGCUCCUUUCGGGAAAGGCUGAUUGCGCGGUUACGUGCAGCGUGUGUUGAGGAGUGGCUCUGGAAACUUAAAGAGCCCGACGAUCAAGUGAUCUUGCCAACUACCGUUUUAAUCAGCAUGUUUUAUUUUGUUGUGGUACAGGCUCAGAGCCCAAUGCAAGCCCUGGCAGAUGUCUUCAACACCAGAGUGACACUCAGCCUGAAGGCCAGGAUUGAAGACUGGAAGUACAGGGGCAAGAAAUACCUUUGAAAAUACUCCAGUGUCCAAACUGCUCACUGGUGUUGCUGCCUUUUGAGCCAGGGCACGAGGCUUUGUUGAGGUCACUACUUUUCAUUCCCUCCAAGAUGGACAAGAUGUUUGUUUUGUGCACAGUAAGUGGAACACAGGGCCUCCGGCAUGGUGCUUGUAUGUUCCCUUCAGAAACUAAGGUUUGUAUUGGGAUUAGGACGCAUGCAUGUGCUUUUCAUGAAUUUUUUUCUGUCUAAUCCCUGACAGCUAAUCUGAGUAUCCCCUACCAAUUCUGAGGUGAGCCAUAACUCAGAACUAAGGGACUGAAGGCUGCUAUCAUAGACCAUGAGCAGCCGCUCCAACCACAGCCCUGGCACAGACCACCCAUAAGAGCAUUUCCACCUCCUAGGAAGAUAAAUUCAUAUUUAUAUUGUCUCUGUCUCUCCAUCUUGUGUGUAUAGGAGGAGUGAUACGCGUAUGUAUUUAGAGGCCAAAAAGUGUCUUCCUAAAUCUUACCGUUUCCUUUUUGGGAAUGAAUCUCAGGCUGGUGAAAUGGCUCACUAGGCAAAGGUGCUUGCCACCAAGCCUAAUUACCUGAGACUCAGAUGGUAAGAGGGAACUUACUCUGUCCUCUGAUCUCCAAUGCAUGCCUUGACACUGAGCAAAAUAAGUAAAUGAAUAGGCACGUAGAUAAAUGUGCAGUUUAAAAGAGGGAGUUUCUCACUAAGCCUGGCGCUCACAUAUUUGGUUGGACUAACUAGUCAGCCUCAGGGACCCCCUGUCCGUGCUUCCCCAGGGCUGGUUCUGGUGCAUCUGGCUUUUUACGUGGGGACUGGGGAUCCAGUCGCAACUACUCAUGACUUUCCUGCCUGGACCCUUUCCCUUUAUCCUCCCUCAAUUCAAAUAUACUCAAUUUGGAUCAUAUGUUACAGCACAUAUGCGUGGGUGGGUGUGCCCAUGCUGUAGCACAGAUAUGGAGAUCAGAGGAUAACUUGUAGGCAUCAGUUGUCUCUCUUACUAUGUGUGGGCCCUGGGGAUCCAAUCAGGCUGCCAGCCUUGGCAGCAGGCACUUUGCCCACUGUGCUCUGUUACCAGCCCUAGCCUAUUAUCCUUUUCUUUCUUCCCGUGCCAGGAAUGGAGCAGUGUCUUGAACGUGCUACACAAGCCCCCUAACAGCCAAGCGAAUCCAGCAGCUCUACAGACAUCCUUUCACUGAGCAGUUAUUUCUCCUCCGAUGUUCUGAUCGCUGUGGGCAGCCUCCAAACACUUUUUGAAAAAGCUGGAGAGAAAGGCGAGCUUGAAAAGGGGAAUGCAGGAUAGAGGCAAAGGGAGAGAAGCAGGCAAGCGACUCCACAAUGAUACUCAUUCCUUUAUUGUCAACUGUGUUCAUCUCAACAGGGCUGGGGCCUGCAGGCUGCUGGCAGCACCAAGUUAAGGUGCAUUUCCACUCAACAGAAAGGCCUCCAUCCUAAACCAAGGGGGCAGAGGUUAAUGCUUUAUAUAUAUUUAUAUAUUUAUAUAUUACAUAUGUCCUAGAUAUACAUAUGUCCCAUAUGUAUAGAGUGACAAGAAUGGGCCACUUUGUGUAACUUUAAUUAAAGGCCAUAGCAACAGACA
rnacentral:lncRNA from 1 species